GCCUCUGUAGCUCAGUUGGUUAGAGCGCUGCACCGGAAUCGCAGUGCCGUAGGUUCAAUUCCUACCAGAGGAC